UGGCACCUGAUCAAGAUUAAUGAAUGAGAUGGUGCUUUCUACGGUCCAAAAAUUGAUAUUGGUGUGUUUGAUGCCCUCAAGAGGAAUUUUCAAUGUGCAACCCUACAGCUGGAUUUUCAGCUCCCCCUUCGCUUCAAGCUGACUUACUCUGCCGAGGAUGAAGCCAAACUUGAAAGACCUGUGAUGAUACACAGAGCAAUCUUAGGAUCCGUUGAAAGGAUGUUUGCCAUUCUUUUUGAGCAUUACAAUGGUAAAUGGCCCUUGUGGCUAAGCCCUCGCCAGGUCAUUGUUUGCUCAGUAUCUUUUGGUUCAGCGGAAUAUGGAAAACAGGUCCUUGCCAGGCUACAUGAAGCUGAUUUUCAUGUUGACAUUGACAUUAGUGACAGAACAAUCCAAAAGAAGGUACUUCCCAGCAGCAACAGAAGCCCAGGGCAGGACGGGACAGCCCAGCCCAGCCCAGCCCACCUUGUUGAGGCUCAGGAGGAGGCCCACCCACCUUGUUUGCUUGCUGUUGCUGCAGUCCGUCCAUCAGCUUAUUAAUCAUCAGAAUCAGAGGUGCUUACUGGAUAAUCGAUUGUCAUCUGUGAGGUCUGAAAAUCA